GACGAACGCUGGCGGCGUGCCUAAUACAUGCAAGUUGAGCGCUGAAGGUUGGUACUUGUACCAACUGGAUGAGCAGCGAACGGGUGAGUAACGCGUGGGGAAUCUGCCUUUGAGCGGGGGACAACAUUUUGAAACGAAUGCUAAUACCGCAUAAAAACUUUAAACACAAGUUUUAAGUUUGAAAGAUGCAAUUGCAUCACUCAAAGAUGAUCCCGCGUUGUAUUAGCUAGUUGGUGAGGUAAAGGCUCACCAAGGCGAUGAUACAUAGCCGACCUGAGAGGGUGAUCGGCCACAUUGGGACUGAGACACGGCCCAAACUCCUACGGGAGGCAGCAGUAGGGAAUCUUCGGCAAUGGACGAAAGUCUGACCGAGCAACGCCGCGUGAGUGAAGAAGGUUUUCGGAUCGUAAAACUCUGUUGGUAGAGAAGAACGUUGGUGAGAGUGGAAAGCUCAUCAAGUGACGGUAACUACCCAGAAAGGGACGGCUAACUACGUG
rnacentral:rRNA from 1 species